rnacentral:ncRNA from 1 species
AGAGUAAAAUUACGUUCGUUAAGUGUUGACUGAACGGGGAGUUGUCAGUCAAACGAAAAGCCGUGCAGAAAAACUGCGGGCUUGCGGUUCGUAUUUUGCAUCCCGCU